rnacentral:rRNA from 1 species
UUCGCAAUGCCCGAAAGGGUGACGAUGCGACGCCGCGUGAGCGAAGAAGGCCCUAGGGUUGUAAAGCUCUGUCGAGGGUUAUGAAAUAUAGAUGGGUUAAUACCCCAUUUAUUUGACAAAAGCCCAAAAGGAAGCCACGGCUAACUCUGUGCCAGCAGCCGCGGUAAUACAGAGGUGGCGAGCGUUGUUCGGUAUUAUUGGGCGUAAAGAGCACGUAGGUGGUUUUGUAAGUCAGGUGUGAAAGCCUUCUGUUCAAAGGAAGAACGGCAUCUGAAACUGCAGAUCUUGAGUGUAGGAGGGGAGAGUGGAACUUCUGGUGGAGCGGUGAAAUGCGUAGAUAUCAGAAGGAACGUCGGCGGCGAAAGCGACUCUCUGGCCUAUUACUGACACUCAGUGUGCGAAAGCUAGGGGAGCAAACGGGAUUAGAUACCCCGGUAGUCCUAGCCGUAGACGAUGGGCACUAAGUAGAGGGGUUUU